rnacentral:rRNA from 1 species
UACGUAGGGUGCGAGCGUUGUCCGGAAUUAUUGGGCGUAAAGAGCUCGUAGGCGGUGUGUCGCGUCGGCCGUGAAAGCCUGCAGCUUAACUGUGGGCUUGCGGUCGAUACGGGCAUCACUGGAGUUCGGCAGGGGAGACUGGAAUUCCUGGUGUAGCGGUGAAAUGCGCAGAUAUCAGGAGGAACACCGGUGGCGAAGGCGGGUCUCUGGGCCGAUACUGACGCUGAGGAGCGAAAGCGUGGGGAGCGAACAGG